rnacentral:rRNA from 1 species
GACGUAGGGCGCGAGCGUUGUCCGGAUUUAUUGGGCGUAAAGAGCGUGUAGGCGGCUCGGUAAGUCCGCUGUAAAAGUCCAGGGCUCAACCCUGGAAAGCCGGUGGAAACUGUCGAGCUAGAGUCCGGAAGAGGCGAGUGGAAUUCCUGGUGUAGCGGUGAAAUGCGCAGAUAUCAGGAGGAACACCAAUGGCGAAGGCAGCUCGCUGGGACGGUACUGACGCUGAGACGCGAAAGCGUGGGGAGCAAACAGG